GACGAACGCUGGCGGCGUGCUUAACACAUGCAAGUCGUACGGUAAGGCCCUUUCGGGGGUACACGAGUGGCGAACGGGUGAGUAACACGUGAGUAACCUGCCCACAACUUUGGGAUAACGCUAGGAAACUGGUGCUAAUACUGGAUAUGUUCUCCUGCUGCAUGGUGGGGGUUGGAAAGCUCCGGCGGUUGUGGAUGGACUCGCGGCCUAUCAGCUUGUUGGUGGGGUAGUGGCCUACCAAGGCGGCGACGGGUAGCCGGCCUGAGAGGGUGACCGGCCACAUUGGGACUGAGAUACGGCCCAGACUCCGACGGGAGGCAGCAGUGGGGAAUAUUGCACAAUGGGCGCAAGCCUGAUGCAGCAACGCCGCGGGCGGGAUGACGGCCUUCGGGUUGUAAACCGCUUUCAGCAGGGACGAAGCUUUUUGUGACGGUACCUGCAGAAGAAGCACCGGCUAACUACGUG
rnacentral:rRNA from 1 species